AGAUUGAACGCUGGCGGCAUGCCUAACACAUGCAAGUCGAACGGGAGUAGCAAUACUCUAGUGGCGGACGGGUGAGGAAUACGUAGGAAUUUGCCCUUAAGUGGGGGAUAACCCGGGAAACCCGGAUUAAUACCGCAUGACCUCGAAAGAGCAAAGUGGGGGAUCGCAAGACCUCACGCUUUUGGAGAAGCCUACGUCGGAUUAGCUAGUUGGUGAGGUAAUGGCU
rnacentral:rRNA from 1 species